UGAGUUGAUCAGACAAUCGCUGGUUUAUUGAAGCCCUAAAGUGUUCGUCAGAACGAUCUAGUGGGACAAAUAGACGAGAGGAAAGUCCGAGCUACACAGGGCAGAGUGCUAGGUAACGCCUAGGGGGAGCGAUCCCACGACCAGUGCAACAGAGAGCAGACCGCCCCUCACUUAGAUUAUAAAUAAUCUAGGUGAGGGGUAAGGGUGAAAGGGUGCGGUAAGAGCGCACCGCAUGGCGGGUAACCGUUCAUGGCAAGGUAAACUCCACUCGUAGCAAGACCAAAUAGGAGCUCAAUGGGUGUGCCCGCUCAGAGUUCGGGUAGGUUGCUUGAGCGUGCGUGCGAACGUACGCCUAGAGGAAUGAUUGUCCACGACAGAACUCGGCUUAUCGAUCAACUCAUUUA
rnacentral:RNase_P_RNA from 1 species